GGCGAACGGGUGAGUAACACAUCGGAACGUACCCAGGAGUGGGGGGACAACCUCGAGAAAUCGAGGCUAAUACCGCAUACGUCCUGAGGGAGAAAGCGGGGGAUUCGCAAGGACCUCGCGCUCAUGGAUCGGCCGAUGCCGGAUUAGCUAGUUGGUGGGGUAAUAGCCCACCAAGGCUACGAUCCGUAGCUGGUUUGAGAGAACGACCAGCCACACUGGGACUGAGACACGGCCCAG
rnacentral:rRNA from 1 species